GGGACCGUGGUGUAGAGGUAAGCGUGGUUGCCUUUCAUCCAGUCGGCUUGGGUUCGAUCCCAGACGGUCCCG
rfam:Culex pipiens quinquefasciatus supercont3.188 genomic scaffold, whole genome shotgun sequence.